UAGGGAAUCUUCCGCAAUGGACGCAAGUCUGACGGAGCAACGCCGCGUGAGUGAAGAAGGAUUUCGGUUCGUAAAACUCUGUUGUUAGAGAAGAACAGCGCAUAGAGUAACUGUUAUGCGUGUGACGGUAUCUAACCAGAAAGCCACGGCUAACUACGUGCCAGCAGCCGCGGUAAUACGUAGGUGGCAAGCGUUAUCCGGAAUUAUUGGGCGUAAAGCGCGCGUAGGCGGUUUUUUAAGUCUGAUGUGAAAGCCCACGGCUCAACCGUAGAGGGUCAUUGGAAACUGGAAAACUUGAGUGCAGAAGAGGAAAGUGGAAUUCCAUGUGUAGCGGUGAAAUGCGCAGAGAUAUGGAGGAACACCAGUGGCGAAGGCGACUUUCUGGUCUGUAACUGACGCUGAUGUGCGAAAGCGUGGGGAUCAAACAGG
rnacentral:rRNA from 1 species